UCCUGGCUCAGGAUGAACGCUGGCGGCGUGCUUAACACAUGCAAGUCGAACGAAGCGCUACCGACGGAACUUUUCGGAGGGAAGAUGGUAAUGACUGAGUGGCGGACGGGUGAGUAACGCGUGGGUAACCUGCCUCACAGAGGGGGACAACAGCCGGAAACGGCUGCUAAUACCGCAUAACAAGGGAUUGCCGCAUGACGAUCCUUUCAAAGAUUUAUCGCUGUGAGAUGGACCCGCGUCUGAUUAGCUUGUUGGUGGGGUAACGGCCUACCAAGGCGACGAUCAGUAGCCGGCUUGAGAGAGUGAACGGCCACAUUGGGACUGAGACACGGCCCAGACUCCUACGGGAGGCAGCAGUGGGGAAUAUUGCACAAUGGGGGAAACCCUGAUGCAGCGACGCCGCGUGAGUGAAGAAGUAUUUCGGUAUGUAGAGCUCUAUCAGCAGGGAAGAUAAUGACGGUACCUGACUAAGAAGCCCCGGCUAACUACGUG
rnacentral:rRNA from 1 species